CUCCAGGACAGGGCAUCAAAGAAAGCUAAGUGGCAUAACAUUUCCAUCACGCGCUUGAGUCAUUUGGCCAAUCACAACACACUGGAUAGCUGGCCGAUCAGAGCACACCUCGCUUUUCAGACC